CUCCUGGCACGGCUGGUUCAGCGCGGACCACUGCUUCUUGUUUUGUGCUGGACACUUCUCCGGGUGUGCGCGUUCAUGCCGGUGGGAAGCCUUCUUCCAAUGAUUCCCAACACUAGAUUCCUGGCCUUCCAGCUACCUCUAUGAUGGCGAGUGAGGCUGGUCCAUCCUCUUCACGAUCUGUUCGAGCUGCGGAAUCUACACACAAGAGGAGAUUUGUACGAGCUUGAUUUUGCUGUCAUCGGCCGUGAGGGAGACAUAACGGAGGAUUGUGUGCCACAAAACUGCAUCGACCAAUUCAGGGAUCAACGGAAAGAAGGAUCAAUCUUAACGAUUAAUUUUUUGUUGUCGACAUGCCCAAGACGGCAAGACCUAUAUAGUAUCAGACUGUUCAAUUUCUAUCAGGAACCCAUUAUACGGUGCAUUCAGUCCAAUUUCUUUUAUACCUGCUUUCUUCCCCUCAAAACAACUAAUGAUGCUUUCAUGUACAAUACCUUCUUUGUUUGUUGCUAUGACCGUUGUUCAGUCAACAGGUAUAAAGAUUUCAGCCACGCACCCCAAAUACUCACCGGUUGGAUUUACCGGCCGCUAACUUUAACCUCUAUCUGGUUUUGACACAAUAUAGGUGUGUGGGCUCUCAAGAGCACACACAUAACAUGUUGUUAUAUAAAUUACUACAGUUUUGAUGCCGGUGGUUUUAUAUUAAUGCAUAAUCAUUACCCCAAGUUGUUAUAUCCGUGCACUGUAUUGUAUUACACAAGGGGGAGAAGCUUUACCACAAGCUGCAGGUGUAUGGUCAAUCUUCAGCAUUGCAAGAGGCAUGUGGUAUUUUUUGGUAUUGUUAGUCAGCUUUUAGCACUAAGCAAACUAGAGAUUGAAGACGAGUUCAAUCACUUUUUCUCCUGGAACAUAUGAAAAAGAUGGGUACUUAGUUUCUUCUAGCCUACUGUGCUGCCAUAUAUUGUUCUCUCCUACGACAAGUUCUUUUGACAGCUUUGAAAGCUCUAUCCAUGCAUAUUCAUUUACUGAUGCCUGAUCUCUGGACUUUUCUAUGCUUUGUAUUGCACUUUAUCAUAGAUAGAUGGUACGUUCUGUUUGCUCUCACGCCGAUAUUCAUGUAUGCUGAGUACCAAAAUACUAAUAUAGUGAGCAUUUUAUGUAGUAUAUUCACAGUAUUUGAUCCAUCGGAAAAAAUGCUGGCAAAAUAGAUUGGUAUUUAGAAAAAUGUGUUGCUACCUGCAGUUCUAUUCUCCUUUCAUAGUCUCUUGCUCCGGCUCUUGGUCUCAGGCAGAUGUGUGUAGCCUGCAGGUCGCAACACUGAAGAAUGGAGCGGUUGGUGGAGGGCGUCUCUACAUUGUUUCCAGAGAGAUAAUGAAAUAGAUGCUGAUUACAUCUUAAACUAAGGUUGUCCUUAAAUGGAAAUCACAUCAAGAAAAACAUUUAGAUGGUCAGAUUUAGUGGAUUGAGUUUGUUCAUUUAACAUAAUAAUGGAAUUAAUCCUGAAUUGCUGACUAAUAUCCUGGUGAGUGCCUCUUUUCAUGUGAUCAUACUGCAAUAUUGGUUCAACUCUUGUGAAUGCCUUUUUUCUUUGAGCAUACUGCAAUAUUGGUUCAUCUCUUUCAGCUGUACAGUCUCAUGUUUUAUGGGCACCAUACCUGUCGGGUGCAACAUAAAGUGAUAAUGACAUAUGUCCCAUAAACUAUGUAUAUAGGUUUUUGAUCUAACAUCGUACUCUCCCUAAUUUCUCAUAUAUAUUCUUAUCCUGCCCUUUUGGUAUUCCUGGUAUGCCACUUGCUUUCUUAGGAUUAUUCGCUGUAAUAAUAUAAUUUGUCAUUUAACUGCUCAAUACAUGAAGUAGAGGUUGAUUUUAAUGACAUGUGAUGGUAGAAAAUGUCUAUUUUGUCAGUAAAAUUUUCAGAUUUCAGAUGAACUUCUUUAAAUAUGGUGAGGAUAUAACACAUGGUAAAUCAAAUAGGUGGUAUGUAUGCAGUGAUCUUUUGAUGGCCUAUGGUAGAACCAAGAAUUAUACAUGAACACUACUAAUGUGCUCAGUUCACCUGAACUAAAUGAUGGGCGCGUACCAAGCUUCAAGAAAUUUUCCUGGAGGCACAUUCAUGUAUUUUUGUUCUGUUGGGUACAUUUUGAUAUAUUUGCCGUCCUUCUGGUUUCCAAUUUAUCUUAUUUUCGUAUUUGUCAUUUUGAUUUUCUUAAGUAGUGGAGUUUGUAAAUGAUACCGUUUAUUAUUGAGGAUAACUUGCUAAUGCUUAUCAACCACUAUGUACUUUAUACUCAUUUAUACAAGUGACACUUGCAAGUUUCUUAACUAGGUAUUCACGGUACUACCAAUAUGCAUGAAUGGAGUUGAGGAAUUUCAAAGCGCCUUUAAAAGGUUGUAUGGGUCGUUGCUACCAUCAUUGUUUAAGAGUUUCAAGUUGUAAUAUGGCCACUUACAGAAGGAGUAACAAAUUCGCUAGAAAGUUAAUGUAUUCGCAGUUCUUGGUGUAAGAAUGUUAUCAAGUGAGUUUAGUUUUGGUUUCUAUCUAAAUGUCCACUUCAAAAAAACAAAGACCAAUAUAGAGUUUUCAGUAUGGUUACACAAUUAUCAAUUA